UUAAACUGGAGAGUUUGAUCCUGGCUCAGAACGAACGCUUGCGGCGUGCUUAACACAUGCAAGUCGAACGAGAAAACCCUUUCGGGGGUGAGUAAAGUGGCGCACGGGUGAGUAACACGUAGGUAACGUACCUUCGGGUUCGGGAUAACACUUCGAAAGGAGUGCUAAUACCGGAUAAGACCACGGGCCCCUCGGGACCUGAGGAAAAAGGUGGCCUCUCAGCGAAGCUGCCGCCUGAAGAUCGGCCUGCGUACCAUUAGCUAGUUGGUAGGGUAAUGGCCUACCAAGGCUACGAUGGUUAGCUGGUCUGAGAGGAUGAUCAGCCACACUGGAACUGGAACACGGUCCAGACUCCCACGGGAGGCAGCAGUGGGGAAUAUUGCGCAAUGGGGGAAACCCUGACGCAGCAACGCCGCGUGGGUGAAGAAGGCCUUCGGGUUGUAAAGCCCUGUCAGGAGGGAAGAACGGAUUGUGAGUGAAUAGCUCACAGCCUUGACGGUACCUCCAGAGGAAGCGCCGGCUAACUCCGUGCCAGCAGCCGCGGUAAUACGGAGGGCGCAAGCGUUGUUCGGAAUUAUUGGGCGUAAAGCGCGUGUAGGCGGUCCGGAAAGUUGGGUGUGAAAUCCCUUGGCUCAACCGAGGAAUUGCAUUCAAAACUACCGGACUUGAGUGCGGGAGAGGGAAGUGGAACUCCUAGUGUAGAGGUGAAAUUCGUAGAUAUUAGGAGGAACACCUGUGGCGAAGGCGGCUUCCUGGACCGACACUGACGCUGAGACGCGAAAGCGUGGGGAGCAAACAGGAUUAGAUACCCUGGUAGUCCACGCCGUAAACGAUGAGUACUAGGUGUUGGGGGUGUUGACCCCCCCAGUGCCGACGCUAACGCAUUAAGUACUCC
rnacentral:rRNA from 1 species